UGCACAAUGAAAGUGAACGAGCAAGGUCGUGGAGUCAAGUUUUUAGUGAAGAUACAAAAAAACAGUCCAUUCCAGUCAUAGCAGCUUGGCAACUAAAUGAAAGAAUGUAUGGGGAACUGCAAGGUCUCAAUAAGCAAGAGACAGCCGACAGAUAUGGAAAAGAGAAAGUCCAUGAGUGGCGCCGGAGUUAUGACAUACCUCCUCCAAAUGGUGAAAGCUUGGAAAUGUGUGCCCAAAGAGCAGUUGCCUAUUUCAGAGACCAAAUUGAACCACAACUUUUAUCUGGAAAGAAUGUCAUGAUUUCAGCCA